AUUGAACGCUGGCGGCAUGCCUUACACAUGCAAGUCGAACGGCAGCACGGGAGCAAUCCUGGUGGCGAGUGGCGAACGGGUGAGUAAUAUAUCGGAACGUGCCCGGUCGUGGGGGAUAACGUAGCGAAAGCUACGCUAAUACCGCAUACGAUCUACGGAUGAAAGCGGGGGAUCGCAAGACCUCGCGCGAUUGGAGCGGCCGAUAUCAGAUUAGGUAGUUGUUGAGGUAAAGGCUCACCAAGCCGACGAUCUGUAGCUGGUCUGAGAGGACGACCAGCCACACUGGGACUGAGACACGGCCCAGACUCCUACGGGAGGCAGCAGUGGGGAAUUUUGGACAAUGGGCGCAAGCCUGAUCCAGCAAUGCCGCGUGCAGGAUGAAGGCCUUCGGUUGGUU
rnacentral:rRNA from 1 species